rnacentral:rRNA from 1 species
UACGUAGGGGGCAAGCGUUGUCCGGAUUUAUUGGGCGUAAAGAGCGUGUAGGCGGCCGUACAGGUCAGCUGUGAAAACUCGAGGCUCAACCUCGAGACGUCGGUUGAAACCGUACGGCUAGAGUCCGGAAGAGGAGAGUGGAAUUCCCGGUGUAGCGGUGAAAUGCGCAGAUAUCGGGAGGAACACCAGAGGCGAAGGCGGCGACCUGGACAGCUACUGACACUCAACUACGAAAGCGCUGGGGAGCAAACAGG